UACCGAGUUUACAACUCCCAAACCCAAUGUGAACGUUACCAAACUGUUGCCUCGGCGGGAUUUCUGCCCCGGGCGCGUCGCAGCCCCGGACCAAGGCGCCCGCCGGAGGACCAAUUUACAAACUCUUUGUAUGUCCCUUUGCGGAUUUUUUAUUAUACAUUCUGAGCUUUCUCGGCGCUCCUAGCGAGCGUUUCGAAAAUGAAUCAAAACUUUCAACAACGGAUCUCUUGGUUCUGGCAUCGAUGAAGAACGCAGCGAAAUGCGAUAAGUAAUGUGAAUUGCAGAAUUCAGUGAAUCAUCGAAUCUUUGAACGCACAUUGCGCCCGCCAGUAUUCUGGCGGGCAUGCCUGUCCGAGCGUCAUUUCAACCCUCGAACCCCUCCGGGGGGUCGGCGUUGGGGAUCGGCCUUCUACCGGCCGGCCCCGAAAUACAGUGGCGGUCUCGCCGCAGCCUCUCCUGCGCAGUAGUUUGCACACUCGCACCGGGAGCGCGGCGCGUCCACGUCCGUAAAACACCCAACUUUCUGAAAUGUUGACCUCGGAUCAGGUAGGAAUACCCGCUGAACUUAA
rnacentral:misc_RNA from 1 species